UUAAGUAGAAAGUCGUAACAAGGUCUCCGUUGGUGAACCAGCGGAGGGAUCAUUA
rnacentral:rRNA from 1 species